GACAGAGGCCCCAAGCGUUAGGCGGAAUCACUGGGCUUAAAGCGUGUGUAGGCGGACGCCUAAGUGUCUUGUGAAAUCCCACGGCUCCCCCGUGGAACUGCUGGGCAUACUGGGCGUCUUGGGCCAACUAGGGGCAGCCGGAACAAGCGGUGGAGCGGUGAAAUGCGUAGAUAUCGCUUGGAACGCCGAAGGUGAAAACAGGCUGCUGGGGUUGUGCCGACGCUGAGACACGAAAGCCAGGGGAGCAAACGGG
rnacentral:rRNA from 1 species